GGUGAGUAACACGUGGGCAACCUGCCUAUGAGACUGGGAUAACUCCGGGAAACCGGGGCUAAUACCGGAUAAUUCUUUUCUACACAUGUAGAAAAGCUGAAAGAUGGUUUCGGCUAUCACUCAUAGAUGGGCCCGCGGCGCAUUAGCUAGUUGGUGAGGUAACGGCUCACCGAGGCGACGAUGCGUAGCCGACCUGAGAGGGUGAUCGGCCACACUGGGACUGAGACACGGCCCAG
rnacentral:rRNA from 1 species